UACGAAGGACCCGAGCGUUAUCCGGAUUUAUUGGGUUUAAAGGGUGCGUAGGCGGAUUAUUAAGUCAGUGGUGAAAGCCUUCAGCUUAACUGAAGAAUUGCCAUUGAUACUGAUGAUCUUGAGUAUGAUUGAGGUGGGCGGAAUAUGACAUGUAGUGGUGAAAUACAUAGAGAUGUCAUAGAACACCGAUUGCGAAGGCAGCUCACAAAGCUGUAACUGACACUGAGGCUCGAAAGUGCGGGGAUCAAACAGG
rnacentral:rRNA from 1 species